rnacentral:misc_RNA from 1 species
GCAAACUUGGUCAUUUAGAGGAAGUAAAAGUCGUAACAAGGUUUCCACAAAAGUUCAGUGGAGCGGUCAGCAAUGAUCCUUCGCAGAGUACACUUAUGAUAGCCUUAGUAGCCCGCGAGGGUUGCGCCCGCGACUGUAAACAAGGAGGUGCAUUAAAUGCUAGUCUCUACAUCGAGGCGACACUAUCAAAUUGCGGGAAACUCCUGUCAAGUCUUUGCUACCGCGGCUCGCCGAAAGGCCGAGUGCAGCAUUAAUGUGUUUGGACUUCGGUCCUUCAUCCUGACGCUGUGCGCCCUUCGGGGCUGCACGCUGAAGGAGCAUAUAUCCACACCUGUGCACAUACACGGUGGUGGGGCUUAACUGCCUCACCGCUGCUUCACACACGUCUUAAAAGUCUUGUAUGUUUUAUAUCAUAUUAUACACAACUUUCAGCAACGGAUCUCUUGGCUCUCGCAUCGAUGAAGAACGCAGC